AUUUCCCUCUCUCUCACGCAUUUCCUUUUCUUCUUUUCUUUCUUUUUCCUUCCCCACCUGACGCCCAUCUUCUUCCUCUCUCCCGAUUCCGCAGCUCACCCGUCCUCUCUCCAUUUCUUUUUUUCUCUUCUCCCUCCCCACACACACACACAUCCAGCCGAGAGUUUGAGAGAGAUGAUACCGUGAGAGAUAGACCGUGAUGGAGACGAAGAGUUGAAGGUUAGGGUCAGGAGAAACCCGAGACUUAAGGGAGACCCAACGACCCAUCGAACCUGAGAGAGAGCUGAAGGAGAUUCGAACUGAUUGGAGGCAUGAUCUCCGGCGAAAUGAAGCGAUUUUUACUGAAAUCAGUGGGGAUCUCCAGUGGUUUCUUGAGAAGCCUUUAAAGACUCUAAACCGCUGUUAACCGUGAGCGGAGCACGUUGGCUUUUGUCACACAGACCUAUGGACUCAGCCUGUCGUCACAGGGGAGAGCCGGUUCCGAGUUGGGGAUCUUCCCUAGGUGAAGGCCAACCUCGGCUGGUAGCACACACCAACACAUGGUAUGCUUGCCAUGCUACCCUAUGGGUACCAAUUCUAGCUGUAAUAGUGCCUCAGGGUUAAACGGUUACUGCACAUGAACGUUUUCUGUAAUACUGUGGGCUCUGCUUUAACUGUAUACUUUAUUUCAAAACUGUAAGAGCCGUUUUCAUAACUGUAGUCAUGUGCAGAUUUAACUUUAGAAUAUCUUUUCUUUCAAAAUUGUAUUCUUGAAUAGAAUCAUAUACUUUGAAAUUUUCUGUAA